rnacentral:rRNA from 1 species
CCUACGGGAGGCUGCAGUGAGGAAUAUUGGUCAAUGGACGAAAGUCUGAACCAGCCAAGUAGCGUGAAGGAUGACUGCCCUAUGGGUUGUAAACUUCUUUUAUAUGGGAAUAAAACGUUCCACGUGUGGGUUUUUGUAUGUACCAUAUGAAUAAGGAUCGGCUAACUCCGUGCCAGCAGCCGCGGUAAUACGGAGGAUCCGAGCGUUAUCCGGAUUUAUUGGGUUUAAAGGGAGCGUAGGUGGAGUGUUAAGUCAGUUGUGAAAGUUUGCGGCUCAACCGUAACAUUGCAGUUGAAACUGGCAGUCUGGAGUAUAGGAGAGGUGGGCGGAAUUCGUGGUGUAGCGGUGAAAUGCUUAGAUAUCACGAAGAACUCCGAUUGCGAAGGCAGUUCACUGGACUGCAACUGACACUGAGGCUCGAAAGUGUGGGUAUCAAACAGGAUUAGAUACCCUUGUAGUC